CCUACGGGAGGCAGCAGUAGGGGAUAUUGGGCAAUGGGCGAAACCCUGAACCAGCAACGCCGCGUGAGGGAAGACGGUUUUCGGAUUGUAAACCUCUGUUCUCUGUGACGAUGCUGGUGGUAGCAGAUGAUGAAUCUCCGGCUAACUACGUGGCAGCAGCCGCGGUAGUACGUAGGGAGCGAGCGUUGUCCGGAUUUACUGGGUGUAAAGGGUGCGUAGGCGGCUGGGCAAGUCAGUAGUGAAAUCCAUGGGCUUAACCCAUGGACUGCUAUUGAAACUGUCGAGCUUGAGUGAAGGAGAGGUAGGCGGAAUUCCCGGUGUAGCGGUGAAAUGCGUAGAGAUAGGGAGGAACACCAGUGGCGAAGGCGGCCUACUGGGCAUUAACUGACGCUGAGGCACGAAAGCGUGGGUAGCAAACAGGAUUAGAUACCCUAGUAGUC
rnacentral:rRNA from 1 species